rnacentral:lncRNA from 1 species
GAAAAUGGGAGGCAGAGGGGAAGAGCAUGCAGUCAGCACUUGGUGAUCCCUGAGCCAAACUCCACAGCCUCCUGCCUUCUGGCCGGUGACAGGUAUGCCUUGAGCACAGUUUUGGUUAAUGCUGGGGGGUUAUUCCUGCAGACUAGGCUUAGCUUCAACAGCACGUGGUUACCCUGCCUCUUCUUACUUAUCCAGGCUCACCUAUCUUUCCUGAGUGCCGCUCAAAGGAGCCCCCAGGUCAGGCCACCUCCCCCGUGUCUUGCCUGAGCCUGUCCUAGGACAUUUCUGGGUUUUGUCUGACCCUCGCCUGCCCGAGAGAGGCCUGAGCCCCUGGGGCACGUACCCAUUCACUGUGCCACCAUUUAUCCUUUUCCUGACCUCCUGACUUAGCUUUUGAUUAAACAUUAAGCAUCAGGGAGGCAGGGGCCUCCAGCACAGUGUGUGCUUAGUAGAGGCUUAAUAAAUACUUGUGAAUCAAUGCAUCCUCAAUCCCACAAACAGCAAGUCCCUAGCCUGGUCCUUGUCUUUAAAGAGAUUACCAUCUGGGGGAAGAGGCAGACACAGAUGCCAGCCCAGCCAGGUGGAAGAUAAUAUAUGUUAUAAUAGAGACAUCUUCAAAGCUCUUCCAAAGUGGAGAAUGGCAUCCUGCUAGAGAUUGGCGCCCAAUGAAUGCUAGUAUUAAUGAAUCUGUUAACAAAGGAAAGCUUAGGACACUUUGUGUUUCCCCAAAAGAAUGUUUUAACUUCAGACACAGAGGCCACGCAGUGGGGAUGUGGACUGGAAUGGUAUUGCCUGUGAACUAUGACCUGGCACAAAGUAGCUUAUCAGUAAUGUUUGCCAAUACUGUUUUUAAAGUUCCAGCAGCCAGUCUUCAGAAUUGUCCUCUUUCCUGUGGCCAUGGCCAUGAUGACAUUUUGUUCAUGAAUUCAUGCAUGAUUUAUUUAUUGAGCAUCUACCUCUGGGAACAUGAGAUUUGUUUGUUUUCUCCAAGAGUGAGUGACCCAUGGGGAGCCAUGGGUUCCUGUGUCCAAGACCAGACAUUCUCAGGGAGCAUCUGCUUCCCCCAUCAGGAAGGAACGAGCUUUCAUACCUAGUUUAAGUUAACGAACCCAGUGAGCUAUGAACAGCCUCCUUGCCGGCUGUUGUUCCUCCCUCCAGCCUGUCCUGCCCACUGCAGCUAGACAGAGCUUCCUAAAAGCUUGCUUUCAUCCUGUCACUUCUUACUCGAGGGCCUACAAGAGACUUCCACAUCUGGAUUAUAUCUUUCAAAGCCAGUGUAAUUUGGCCUCUUUCUCUGAGCCAAAUGGACUUCCACUGCUAGUCUUCACCAACCCCAGUUCUGCAUAGUCACGUUCACUCCCUGGUCCUCGAGCAAAUUCAGCUUGUUUUCUGGUUUGAGAGUUCUCAGGCUUGCUCAGGUGGCGGAGCAGUUGGCACCCUGGUGUUCCUUGGGGACACCAUGGCCUACUCUUAUAUUGAAUUCCAAAGUAUAAACUAGGCACCAUUUUACUUGCUAAAGAUUACUUCAUUUGUGGUCAUUAUUAACUCAUGACCCAGAACUGAGAAAUACAUAGCCCGUCAAGCAGGAUUGGCCAUUUUCUUACUGAUCUGUUCAUAUUAACGUGUUCCUUGCUCAUUUGUUUUGCUGAUCCAGUAGGCUAUCAGGAGUAGAUAUUAAUGGUUUAAGAAAAUGUAAUGGAAGAAAAAUACCUCCUUAAAUUUGGGAUCAUUCUAUUUAUUAACUUAGUUUUCUUCCCUUGGAAAUCAGGCAAGCACUGCCAUUUUUCAUGAAAAUGCCUCUGGCCAAUGUGAACUCCAUGACACCAGGGACUUCAGCUGUCUUAAUUAGUGUUAUAGCCCAGCAUCCAGCCUAGGGCCUGGCACAUGGCAGAUCAGGGCUUGAGAUAUUUUGCAGACCCUGCACCUGACGGAUCAGCUGGCACCACCCAGAUCAAUAAACUGCCUCAUCUGAUCUGGCGGCCCCCGCCCAGGAACUGACUGAGCGCAAGAAGACAGCUCCAACUCUAUAUGAUUUCAUCCCUGACCAAUCAGCAUUCCUGGCUCACUGGCUUCCCCCCACCCACCAAGUUAUCCUUAAAAACUCU